rnacentral:rRNA from 1 species
UACGGGGGGUGCGAGCGUUGUCCGGAAUUAUUGGGCGUAAAGGGUGCGUAGGUUGUUCUGUUAGUCUUUUGUCAAAGCCCCGGGCUUAACCUGGGAUAUGCGGGAGAAACGGCAGAACUUGAAAGUGCGAGAGGUGUGCGGAACUCAUGGUGUAGGGGUGAAAUCCGUUGAUAUCAUGGGGAACACCAAAUGCGAAGGCAGCACACUGGCGUAUAUUUGACACUGAAGCACGAAAGCGUGGGUAGCGAAUGGG